AUUUUUUAUUGUCUAAUAUUCUAUUUUAUAUAACAUACACUACAACAGAUGCGGAACCUAGCGGCGGAGAAACAACGGCCCAUGCCAAAAACGACGCUAGUUGAGAAGAUCCCGGCAAAGAUCAUUGGCGGUCUGGCAGGUACCGCUAAACCUUCCUGGAUAUCGGCCGUGCAUCCCGAACCGCCUCGAAUUUGAUGUAUAUAUCUUCAACUAAGGCUCCUGAUUUCACUUAACCUCUUGGCGCGAACGAAAGCACGAGCAGAGGCGCAAAGAGCACCCAACCUCCCUCUGGCGCAACCUACCCGCGAAUACACCCAGAAACUCUGCCAGCAACCCAUCACUUCAUUUUGGUAGCGUGCCAAACACGAGCGGGAGCAGAGCCGCGUACCAUCUGCCCCACCCGGCCCUUCCGUCUUCACCGUCGAAUCGCGCAGCGGCCAAUCGUGGUUCCAUCACCAGCGACGAAGUUGAGCAUCUCAUUGGCAGUGCGUGAAACCCCAACACCGUCCUCUCCAGUGCGCGAAUCCUAGCUAUCGCUGCCUCCCACUUUCACCGGAGCAAUUAUUUAAACCAUAUAUGAAGAGAAGGAUGAAGAUGGCUUUCUUUAUGUGACAUACAGUGGCUACCAUUUCUUUGGGGAUCUCACUUCCCACAUGCAUUAGUCAUUUUCUUAUAUUGUUUACUUUGAUUAAUGAUUUGUAUGAUGAAUUUGUUACACUUCUCAUAUCAGAAACCUUGAUUUAUCUCA